UACGUAGGGCGCAAGCGUUGUCCGGAAUUAUUGGGCGUAAAGAGCUCGUAGGCGGCCAGUUGCGUCCGCUGUGAAAUCCCGGGGCUUAACCCCGGGCGUGCAGUGGAUACGGGCUGGCUAGAGGCAGGCAGGGGAGAACGGAAUUCCCGGUGUAGCGGUGAAAUGCGCAGAUAUCGGGAGGAACACCGGUGGCGAAGGCGGUUCUCUGGGCCUGUACUGACGCUGAGGAGCGAAAGCGUGGGGAGCAAACAGG
rnacentral:rRNA from 1 species